AUCUUGAAAACGUGGCCACCAAUGACGACUUUGCUAAAAUGUGGGACAAAUUCGCUCUAAGGAAAGAGAGAGAAUCCUUGAGGGAGGUCAUCUCAAAGGUUAACCUCAAAGAAAGGAAUAUCUGAAUAUUUCCCAACUUGACUAUUAUCCCCCCCAGUCCCCAAACUCCAAUAUUUUAGUUCAUUCUAAGAAAUUUGACAUUAUCAUCCAAACCCCCAUGUAAAUGUAUCUUUAAACUGCAUUGACUCCUUGUCCAAGUCCUGAAUCCACUAUAAGGCCAUAUGAACCACAUUCAAAGCACGAAAUUACCUUUCCUCGAAGCUCCUAUCUGAUCUGCCAGCUCAAUAGUGGUCUACUGAAACCAUACUCACCAUCUCAGGGGGUGGUCAGAUCAUCAACCACUGACCUCCACACCAUCCUCAAAACCAGCAGUCCUCUUUUGGAGGCAGAUUGGUCAGUGCUCCUGUAUGGCACCAACAUUCUGGAUUUUCAUCCAAUACUUCUGGACUAUGAGAACAUUCUUUGGACAAUAAAAUGAGGUAAAAUGGAAGCUGGCUACAGUCUCAGUUUUAUCCUCCAAGACAGUGUGAGGAUGUGUAACAACAAUACCUGUGGUUUAACUUGAUGAUCAGGGCCAGAUUACCGAAUGGGCACGCAGGGCACCUGCCUGUGGGCCCCGACCUCCAGGAAAUAUCAUCAUAACAUCAAAAACUAAAAGUAUAGUGGAUGUAUAUUAUGGUACGUGGACGUUUUACAAUUCGUGAGCUCGUUUCAUAGUUUGUAGCCAUGUUUUAUAUAAAUUUGUGCAUAUUUUGUAGAAAUUCCUGAGCAUUUAAACAUUUUUAGUGGG